rnacentral:rRNA from 1 species
UCGAGAAUCAUUCGCAAUGGGCGCAAGCCUGACGAUGCGACGCCGCGUGUGGGAUGGAGGCCUUCGGGUUGUAAACCACUGUCACGGGGGAAGAAACGCAUGAACGCUAACAUCGUACGUGCCUGACGUUACCCCGAGAGGAAGCCACGGCUAACUCCGUGCCAGCAGCCGCGGUAAUACGGAGGUGGCAAGCGUUGUUCGGAAUUACUGGGCGUAAAGGGUGUGUAGGCGGCUGGUCGUGUUCGUUGUGAAAUCCCCCGGGUUAUCUGGGGAACUGCAUCGAAAACUGGCCGGCUUGAGUGCAGGAGAGGAGAUUGGAAUUUCUGGUGUAGCGGUGAAAUGCGUAGAUAUCAGAAGGAACGCCGGUGGCGAAAGCGGAUCUCUGGCCUGUAACUGACGCUGAGGCACGAAAGCCAAGGGAGCAAACGGG